rnacentral:rRNA from 1 species
GCCAGCAGCCACAUCACCUUGGAACCUACAACUGGCUGCCCCACAGAAGCUCAGCAGGUGUGUGCCUGGUCAGUACCUGGAUGGGAGACCUCCUGGGAAAAACUAAGGUUGCUGCUGGAA